GAUUGAUACUAAGCCAUGCGAGUCUUUGUAGUAAUACAAGGCAGACGGCUCAGUAACACGUAGUCAACCUACCCUAUGGACAAGAAUAAUCUCGGGAAACUGGGCAUAAUUCUUGAUAGAUCAUAAUGCCUGGAAUGGUUUAUGGUUAAAAUGAUUCGUCGCCAUAGGAUGGGACUGCGGCCUAUCAGCUUGUUGGUGAGGUAAUGGCCCACCAAGGCGAUUACAGGUACGGGCUCUGAGAGGAGAAGCCCGGAGAUGGGUACUGAGACACGGACCCAGGCCCUAUGGGGCGCAGCAGGCGAGAAAACUUUGCAAUGUGCGAAAGCACGACAAGGUUAAUCCGAGUGAUUUCUGCUAAAGAAAUCUUUUGCCAGUCAUAAAACCACUGGUGAAUAAGGGGUGGGCAAGUUCUGGUGUCAGCCGCCGCGGUAAAACCAGCACCUCAAGUGGUCAGGAUGAUUAUUGGGCCUAAAGCAUCCGUAGCCGGCUUUGUUAGUUUUCGGUUAAAUCCAUGUGCUCAACGCAUGGGCUGCCGAAAAUACUGCAUAGCUAGGGAGUGGGAGAGGUAGACGGUACUCAGUAGGAAGGGGUAAAAUCCUUUGAUCUAUUGAUGACCACCUGUGGCGAAGGCGGUCUACCAGAACACGUUCGACGGUGAGGGAUGAAAGCUGGGGGAGCAAACCGGAUUAGAUACCCGGGUAGUCCCAGCUGUAAACGAUGCAGACUCGAUGAUGCAUUGGCAUAAUAGCCAAUGCAGUGUCGCAGGGAAGCCGUUAAGUCUGCCGCCUGGGAAGUACGUACGCAAGUAUGAAACUUAAAGGAAUUGGCGGGGGAGCACCACAAGGGGUGAAGCCUGCGGUUCA
rnacentral:rRNA from 1 species